AGGUUCCUACGGGGGGCAGCAGUGAGGAAUAUUGGUCAAUGGCCGAGAGGCUGAACCAGCCAAGUCGCGUGAGGGAUGACGGCCCUACGGGUUGUAAACCUCUUUUGUCGGGGAGCAAAGAGAGUCACGUGUGACUCAUUGAGAGUACCCGAAGAAAAAGCAUCGGCUAACUCCGUGCCAGCAGCCGCGGUAAUACGGAGUAUGCGAGCGUUAUCCGGAUUUAUUGGGUUUAAAGGGUGCGCAGGCGGCGGUGCAAGUCAGCGGUCAAAUUUCGGGACUCAACCCCGUACUGCCGUUGAAACUGC
rnacentral:rRNA from 1 species